rnacentral:rRNA from 1 species
UACAGAGGGUGCAAGCGUUGUUCGGAAUUAUUGGGCGUAAAGCGCGUGUAGGCGGCUUGGCAAGUCGGGUGUGAAAGCCCUCAGCUCAACUGAGGAAGUGCGCCCGAAACUGCUGAGCUUGAGUACCGGAGAGGGUGGCGGAAUUCCCCAAGUAGAGGUGAAAUUCGUAGAUAUGGGGAGGAACACCGGUGGCGAAGGCGGCAUCCUGGACCGGCAUUGACGCUGAGGAGCGAAAGCUAGGGGAGCAAACGGG